CGAAUGGCUCAUUAUAUAAGUUAUCGUUUAUUUGAUAGUGCCUUACUACUUGGAUAACCGUGGUAAUUCUAGAGCUAAUACAUGCUAAAAGACCCGACUUUGGAAGGGUUGUAUUUAUUAGAUUAAAAACCAAUGCCCUCUGGGCUCACUGGUGAAUCAUGAUAACUUCGCGAAUCGCAUGGCCUUGUGCCGGCGAUGGCUCAUUCAAAUUUCUUCCCUAUCAACUUUCGAUGUUUGGGUAGUGGCCAAACAUGGUUGCAACGGGUAACGGAGGGUUAGGGCUCGACCCCGGAGAAGGAGCCUGAGAAACGGCUACUACAUCCAAGGAAGGCAGCAGGCGCGCAAAUUACCCAAUCCCGAUUCGGGGAGGUAGUGACAAUAAAUACUGAUACAGGGCUCUUUUGGGUCUUGUAAUUGGAAUGAGUACAAUUUAAAUCCCUUAACGAGGAACAAUUAGAGGGCAAGUCUGGUGCCAGCAGCCGCGGUAAUUCCAGCUCUAAUAGCGUAUAUUAAAGUUGUUGUGGUUAAAAAGCUCGUAGUUGAACCUUGGGCCUGGCUGGCGGGUCCGCCUCACCGCGUGUACUUCGCCGGCCGGGCCUUUCCCUCUGUGGAACCCUAUGCCCUUCACUGGGUGUGGUGGGGAAACAGGACUUUUACUUUGAAAAAAUUAGAGUGCUCCAGGCAGGCCUAUGCUCGAAUAUAUUAGCAUGGAAUAAUAAAAUAGGACGUGUGGUUCUAUUUUGUUGGUUUCUAGGACCGCCGUAAUGAUUAAUAGGGACAGCCGGGGGCAUCAGUAUUCAAUUGUCAGAGGUGAAAUUCUUGGAUUUAUUGAAGACUAACUACUGCGAAAGCAUUUGCCAAGAAUGUUUUCAUUAAUCAGGAACGAAAGUUAGGGGAUCGAAGACGAUCAGAUACCGUCGUAGUCUUAACCAUAAACUAUGCCGACUAGGGAUCGGACGAUGUUAUUACUUGACUCGUUCGGCACCUUACGAGAAAUCAAAGUG
rnacentral:rRNA from 1 species